rnacentral:rRNA from 1 species
UUUGAUCCUGGCUCAGAGCGAACGCUGGCGGCAGGCCUAACACAUGCAAGUCGAACGGAUCCUUCGGGAUUAGUGGCGGACGGGUGAGUAACACGUGGGAACGUGCCCUUUGGUUCGGAACAACUCAGGGAAACUUGAGCUAAUACCGGAUGUGCCCUUCGGGGGAAAGAUUUAUCGCCAUUGGAGCGGCCCGCGUCUGAUUAGCUAGUUGGUGAGGUAAAGGCUCACCAAGGCGACGAUCAGUAGCUGGUCUGAGAGGAUGAUCAGCCACAUUGGGACUGAGACACGGCCCAAACUCCUACGGGAGGCAGCAGUGGGGAAUCUUGCGCAAUGGGCGAAAGCCUGACGCAGCCAUGCCGCGUGAAUGAUGAAGGUCUUAGGAUUGUAAAAUUCUUCACCGGGGACGAUAAUGACG